CAGCCGCCGCGUUAAUACGUAGGGUGCGAGCGUUAAUCGGAUUUACUGGGCGUAAAGCGUGCGCAGGCGGCCCGUUAAGACAGGUGUGAAAUCCCUGGGCUCAACCUAGGAAUUGCGCUUGUGACUGGCGGGCUCGAGUACGGUAGAGGGGGGUGGAAUUCCUGGUGUAGCAGUGAAAUGCGUAGAGAUCAGGAGGAACACCGAUGGCGAAGGCAGCCCCCUGGGCCUGUACUGACGCUCAUGCACGAAAGCGUGGGGAGCAAACAGGAUUAGAUACCCUGGUAGUCCACGCCCUAAACGAUGGGUACUAGCCGUUUGGUGCGCGAUAGCGCUGAGUGGCGAAGCUAACGCGUGAAGUACCCCGCCUGGGGAGUACGGCCGCAAGGUUGAAACUUAAAGAAUUGGCGGG
rnacentral:rRNA from 1 species